AUUGAACGCUGGCGGCAGGCCUAACACAUGCAAGUCGAGCGGAUGAAGGGAGCUUGCUCCUGGAUUCAGCGGCGGACGGGUGAGUAAUGCCUAGGAAUCUGCCUGGUAGUGGGGGACAACGUUUCGAAAGGAACGCUAAUACCGCAUACGUCCUACGGGAGAAAGCAGGGGGCCUUCGGGCCUUGCGCUAUCAGAUGAGCCUAGGUCGGAUUAGCUAGUUGGUGGGGUAAAGGCUCACCAAGGCGACGAUCCGUAACUGGUCUGAGAGGAUGAUCAGUCACACUGGAACUGAGACACGGUCCAGACUCCUACGGGAGGCAGCAGUGGGGAAUAUUGGACAAUGGGCGAAAGCCUGAUCCAGCCAUGCCGCGUGUGUGAAGAAGGUCUUCGGAUUGUAAAGCACUUUAAGUUGGGAGGAAGGGUUGUAGAUUAAUACUCUGCAAUUUUGACGUUACCGACAGAAUAAGCACCGGCUAACUCUGUGCCAGCAGCCGCCGUAACAC
rnacentral:rRNA from 1 species